AUACGUAGGGGGCGAGCGUUGUCCGGAAUGAUUGGGCGUAAAGGGCGCGUAGGCGGCCCGGUAAGUCUGGAGUGAAAGUCCUGUUUUUAAGAUGGGAAUUGCUUUGGAUACUGUCGGGCUUGAGUGCAGGAGAGGUAAGUGGAAUUCCCAGUGUAGCGGUGAAAUGCGUAGAUAUUGGGAAGAACACCGGUGGCGAAGGCGCCUUUCUGGACGAGUGCUGACGCUCAGAUGCGAAAGCCAGGGUAGCGAACGGGAUUAGAUUCCCCGGUAGUCCUGGCCUUAAACGAUGGGUACUAGGUGUGGGAGGUAUCGUCUCCUUCUGUUCCGCAGUCGACACAAUAAGCAUUCCGCCUGGGGAGUACGGUCGCAAGGUUGAAACUCAAAGGAAUUGACGGGG
rnacentral:rRNA from 1 species